GCCGGAGUGGUGAAACUGGCAGACGCGCGGGACUCAAAAUCCCGUCUCCGCAAGGGGGUGUGGGUUCAACUCCCUCCUCCGGCA
rnacentral:tRNA from 1 species